UUUUUAUAUGUUAGUUUUUUUUGUGAGUCCGAGACAACUUCUCCUUCUCUUUUCUUCCAAACUCAUUUUCACUUUGUGUGAAAUAAGUUUGGGGGGAGGGGAGAGAUGGAUUAGUUGUCUCAUCUAUCUUAAGCUUUACUUGUUUUUGUUUGUUUUAGUUUUGUUGUCUUGUUUUUGUUAUUGUUGAAUAAAUGAAAGCUUGAGAGUUAGUUGGGUUGAUAUUUUUGUUUUUGUUUUGCUUGGGAUAAUUGUAUCAAACUUUGUGAUGUUGAUUGAAUGUCAUUGGGCUUAUGAUAUGAAUUGUUUCUUGGAAAAAUUGUGUGUAUCACUUGUGGAUUAUGCAUGAAAAGUUUGAACUUGUGACAAGUGAGUUAAAUGUUUUGCCUCCAAGAACUUGAUAAUGAGCUUGUAAGAUUUGAGCCAUUGAUUGUCAUAUUAUCACAAUCUCAUUUCAUUCUUGAGUGUAAAUCAAUUGAACAUGCUCGUUAAUCUCUAGAACUUGCCAUAAGUCCUCUCUAAAAAAAUGAAAGUAGAUGUGUUAUGGAUGUUGAGAUGAUUGAAGGCCAUCUUUGCUAACCACGUAACCCAAAUCUUGUCCAAAUUCUCAUAUGAUCCUAGUUUACCCAUUUUUGUGCCUUAUAGCCUUUCUUUGAAUUAACCAAGGAUGGGUAGAACUUAGAUUGUUAGUGGUUACUUUGAUGAAAAUGUAUGGAAAAUGAUUGAAAUUAGUUGUCUAACUUUGAUUGAGUGAAAAUCACUAGUCCCCUAUGAGCUCCAAAAGAAAAGAAAAGAAAAAGAAGGAAAAUAAAAAUUGAAUAAAGAGCAUAAAGGGGAGUGAUUUACCUUUUGAAUCAUAAUCAUGAUAAGUAUCACUAAGGGUGAAAAGAAGAAAUGUGGGGAUCUUGGUUUUUGAUUGAUAAGAGAAAUGGUGAAUUUGACUUGUUCAUUGUGAUUGUUAGAUUGUGGGAUAUGAGUCAUUUGCCUAAAAACACCCCACCUCACCAAAGAGCCCUCAUUACAACCGUAUGAAAGUCCUUUUUGAUCAUUGUUUGUAGCACAUUGAAGCAUAGAGAGUUAGGACAAAUGGCAAGCUUAUGGUAGAUUGCAUGCAUUGUUUCAAUUUGAGUGCAAACACGUCCAUUCUAAACACUUGAGAGUUGAGUGCGUCAUUGAAACAUCCACCUUGUGAGGAUUCAAGCUUCGAUGCUAUAAUAUUGAACUCACUAUCACUUGUGACUUCUUGGAAUGCAUUUCUGCUUGUGAUACACUUUUGAAAGAUUUUUAAAAUUGUUGAAGCCCUUGAAAUGACACCAAUUCAUGCUCACAUGUUUGUUUACUUUUAUUUCUCUUCUCUUCGUCGUUUGGGGACAAACAACACUUUAAGUUUGGGGGGUUGACAAACAUGGUUUUCGUACCUCAAUUCCACAUGUUUUGUUGUCAUUUCCCUUCAUGUUUUGCUUGUGAAUGCUUGUUUGUGCCCGAAUAUUUAGUUUUAUGAAGAUUUGAUAUCUUGGUGUAGUUUUGGAGUAAUUUCAGGAACCAUCAAUGAUUAAUUGGAGGAUUUUGAAGAUAUGAUAUUGAAGUACGUCUCGAGAGGAAUCCGUGAGCGCAAACGGCGACCAAAUCCGAGUCCGGACGAGGGAGAACGGAGCAAAACGAGCGGACUGUGCAAAACGCCCAGUACCCCGCGGUCACCACCCGCGGCCGCGGGGUAAGACCGCGGGUCAGCUGUUCCCGACUCAGGAGACACCCGCGGUCACCACCCGCGGCCACGGGGCGGGACCGCGGGUCCCCUGAGCAUCCCCCACGUUUGAAGGCCGCGGACUCGGGCCGUGACCGCGGGAAAAGAGCGGAGCAUCCCCAAGUGGGCCCCAGUCGCGUUUUUCAGCCCUUAAACCCCAUUUUUCCCCUUUUCCUCACAUUAUUCAUCAUCCCCUACAUUCAAUACUCAUUUCCUACCUCCAUAUCCAAGCCCUAACCCCCAUUAAUACUCAUUCCUACCCAUUUGAAGAAGGCAUUGAAGAGGAGAGAGGAUUGAAGCAAGCUUCUCAAUAGGAUUUGU
rnacentral:lncRNA from 1 species